UCAUGGUGCUGGAUAAUCUACUUUUCUUAACUAUUGCAUUUUGAUGUAGAUUGGCGAAUGUGUGGCAAUCUGGUGGAGGCCAAACUUUGAGACUAUUAUGUACCCAUACUGCCCUCCUCACAUCACAAAACCCAAGGAGUGCAAGAAACUUUUCAUUGUUCACUUGUCUGAAAAGGAGUACUUUGCUGUACCAAGAAACUUGAAGCUGCUUGCUGUUCCCCUGUUUGAGCUUUAUGAUAAUGUUCAGAGAUAUGGUCCAGUUAUUUCCACAAUCCCGCAGCAGCUUUCCAGAUUUCACUUCAACAUGGUGACGACAUGAAACAUCAUCCAUAGUCAUGUUAAUCAGAUUGUAAUUGGCCUGUAGUUGUGGAAUAUGUCAUAUCUUAUGAACCUAUGAACCUACGACUUUGUUAUUCAAGCUUGUGUAGACUGCGUCAUUGCCUUUGCCAUUGUGAUUUUAGUGUUAACCAAUUCUCGGGGGACAUAAUCUGGUCGUAGAAAUGUUGGUAUCUCUAAUUGCCAAACACAAGAAAGUUAAACCUAUUUAGAUGGUGUAAAAUUGUUGCCAUUCAGAUGAUGUUUAGUUUAGAAAUCAAGCCUCACUUGAUAGUCUAUGGUGGAGUUGUUUCAUUUCAGAAGCUGAAAAGCGUGGCUUGUGCUGUGUUACGUGCUAAUUGCAAGGUACAGGACUUGGAUCCUAUAUGAAUGGAUGCAACUUUAGUCUGGGGUUUAUGUGACUCCGUGUUGUCUUUAAUAACUAAUAUUCUUCAACCCAUAUAUGAGUUUGGAUCAUAUAUGUUGUACACCUUGGAAUGAACAUUGUCAUUGUAAAUUCGCUGCCAGAAAACCAAGAAUGUUAUGUAUAUUUCUCCGAUUUGUAUGACCAAACCAA